GCUCCCGACACUAAGGGAGAUAACAACGUUUUACUGAUGUAAAACUGGUUCCCGUUAAAAAAAAUUAGGAUAUAUCGCCUAUAUAUCUAGGUCACGGUAACAGUUCCAAUGUCGUCUGUUGACAACGUGUGUAAACAACUUCUAAGUUACAGCCCAUCGCUCAGAAGAAAGGAAGGUUUAUCAGAAAGGAUAAAUGCAUGCGUUCUUUUAAAAUAAAGAAUAUGAAUAGCUUCAACUUGAAAGUUCACACAGUCUUAAAUGAUUCUCAACUUAUAAGAUCAUAUGAUAUAAGUUUUUGGAAGUUGGAGAAAUUCGGCGUCCGAUCACAGACAGUGACUCUCCGUUUGACGAAACCUGGAAAGAAGGUCGAAGGAUAGCUCUAGUUGAUCACCUAGUGCAGAAUAAGUUCGUUAAGAUAUAAAACUGUCCCCUGCGGAUACUGUCUGUGAACGGAAAUACGACCGUCAAGGCUUGGACCAGGAGCCGAGGCGGAGGCCGUGGAGCAUUUUGUCCAUACCAUAUCGUUGUAGCUGCAGUGAAUGUAACCUGCUUAUCAUACAUGUGUAACAAUGUUGAAACGAGGAAAGAAAUGGAACUGGUGAAUUGUUAUCAAUUCAAAAGCUGUACAUGGAAUGAUACAUGCAGGAAUUUGUGCCACACAUUUCAACAAUUUCCUUAAUGGAUUGAAUGUACUUUAUGUGAAUUCAUCAGCCAUACUUAAAAAGAAAAAGGAGAAUGAAACUGGAAAGAAAAUAUUUGCAGUUGCAAAAGAAUGCUGUAAAUAAAUUCAAAAGAAGAAACAGUUUUAAACAUGGUUAAUUUAAUGAAUAAUUGGAAGGUUGAAGCUAGUUUUGUUGCAGAAUGGCAAAUGUUUGGUACUGGUUGAAACUAUGAAAGUGAUACAGGUAAAUUUAAAGAAUUUAGGCUUAAACUUUAUUAAUAGAAAAGAUAUUCCCAAAUGUCAAGGUGAAAGUGGACAUUGUAGAUUCUAAACAACCAUGUGAAAGCAACAGUCUUCUAUGGUGAGAGGAUGCCAUACUUAGCAAUGAUCUUGUUAUUAUAUGGAAUAUGAUUUUUUUUCUAAGUUUCAAUGUGAGUGGAUUUAUAGUUUUUUCAUUAAA